rnacentral:rRNA from 1 species
ACUAUGCUCAGCCGUUAACCUAGGCCGCACCAGAUAUAGCAGCCCGCCAGAAAAUUACAAGUGAAAAACUUAAAACUCCAAGGACUUGACGGUGUCCCACACCAACCUAGAGGAGCCUGUCCUAUAAUCGAUACCCCACGUUAUACCUCACCCCAUCUUGCCAAGUCAACCUAUAUACCGCCGUCGCCAGCCUACCUCCCAAGAGCAGUACGCCGUAAGCAACAAACUUCACUUCACUCGUACGUCAGGUCAAGGUGUAGUUAAUGAUGGGGCAGAGAUGGGCUACAUUUUCUAACGUAGAAUAUACCAACCGCAACAUGAAACAUAUGCUAUAAGGCGGAUUUAGUAGUAAAAUAGGCAAGACAAGCCAACUUGAAACAAGCCCUGGGACGCGUACAC